CUCAGGACGAACGCUGGCGGCGUGCCUAACACAUGCAAGUCGAACGGAGAAUUAUGCUAAGUUUACUUAGAGAAAUUUUUAGUGGCGGACGGGUGAGUAACGCGUGGGUAACCUACCCAUAAAGUCGGGACAACCCUUGGAAACGAGGGCUAAUACCGAAUAAUCUUAGUUCGUGGCAUCACGAAUUAAGAAAAGGUGGCCUCUGAAAAUGCUACCGAUUAUGGAUGGACCCGCGUCUGAUUAGCUAGUUGGUGGGGUAAAGGCCUACCAAGGCGACGAUCAGUAGCCGGCCUGAGAGGGUGAACGGCCACACUGGGACUGAGACACGGCCCAGACUCCUACGGGAGGCAGCAGUGGGGAAUCUUCCGCAAUGGACGAAAGUCUGACGGAGCAACGCCGCGUGUAUGAUGAAGGUCUUCGGAUUGUAAAGUAC
rnacentral:rRNA from 1 species